UACGUAGUGGGCUAGCGUUGCUCGGAAUUACUGGACGUAAAGCGCGUGUAGGCGGGCCGUUAAGUCGGGGGUGAAAGCCCAGAGCUCAACUCUGGAACUGCCUUCGAUACUGGCGGCCUGGAGCAUGAUAGAGGCGAGUGGAAUUGCGAGUGUAGAGGUGAAAUUCGUAGAUAUUCGCAGGAACACCAGUGGCGAAGGCGACUCGCUGGAUCAUUGCUGACGAUGAGCCGCGAAAGCGUGGGGAGCAAACAGG
rnacentral:rRNA from 1 species